UACGUAGGGACCGGGCGUUGUCCGGAAUCAUUGGGCGUAAAGAGCGUGUAGGCGGCUAUUUAAGUCCUGCGUGAAAUCCUGCGGCUCAACCGCAGACGGUCGUGGGAAACUGGAUGGCUAGAGUGCGGGAGAGGAGAGUGGAAUUCCCGGUGUAGCGGUGAAAUGCGCAGAUAUCGGGAGGAACACCGGUGGCGAAGGCGGGUCUCUGGGCCGAUACUGACGCUGAGGAGCGAAAGCGUGGGGAGCGAACAGG
rnacentral:rRNA from 1 species